AAUUAAUUAAAACAAGACUUUCCUCUCUGGCUUCCUCCAUGCAUAUAGAGUCAUAGCUAGCUAGCUAACCACAUUAGAAUAUACAAUUAUCAAUUAUAUUUUGUUAUUAUAAGAUCAAAUUGUCCCUAAAGAAAUGGGAUUGUAUUAAUUUGAUUCUUGACUCCUAAAUCACCCUUUCUCGUGUCCUUACAAGACAACUAAAGAAAACCUAUAAAGAUAAAUAUACCCUUAUGUAUAUUUAUUAGAAUCCGAAAUCCAAGGUAUUCAAAAGCAAAGCCCUUCAUUAUUCUCACUUUUUUUUUUGUUUCAACAACAAUAAUAAGUGAUAAAAAUUUAAGGUGCAUUUUAUGGCUGCUUCUAUGUCUUCUUUCUUACCUAUGAAACCAAGAGGAUUAUAUCUCAAGAGAUUCAACACACGUCAAAGGAUGCAAGUAAUAAAAGUACAAAACUAUCAAGAUGAAGGAAGAUCCACCAAUAUGGUAGAUGCAAAUUUGUAUGUUCUAAAGGAGAAGAUAGAGAUGGUGAAGGUGAAGGAAAGAUUGGAAAGGUGUUGCAAAUGUCAACAUGGUUGGAAUUAUGUCCCACUUUCUAUUAAUGAUUAUCAAAAAACCAAAAGAAACAAAGAAUUGAACAACUUCAUUGAGUUGACAAUUUUAGUUUGUGGAACUAUUGGUCUUACUUGUUUUGUUGGAACCCUUUUCAUUUUCCUUGUUUCAUUACUCAUUCAUUUGCAAGUAUGAUUUUUUAAAAUGUAUAUUGAUAGUCACUUUCUAUUACAUUUCACUGUUGGAUAGAGCAAUUUUUUUCGUUCUAUUUCUAUUUCUAGUAAUUAUUCAAUAUAAA